rnacentral:rRNA from 1 species
AGUGAACGCUGGCGGUAGGCCUAACACAUGCAAGUCGAACGGCAGCACAGUAAGAGCUUGCUCUUACGGGUGGCGAGUGGCGGACGGGUGAGGAAUACAUCGGAAUCUACUUUUUCGUGGGGGAUAACGUAGGGAAACUUACGCUAAUACCGCAUACGACCUACGGGUGAAUGCAGGGGAUCUUCGGACCUUGCGCGAUUGAAUGAGCCGAUGUCGGAUUAGCUAGUUGGCGGGGUAAAGGCCCACCAAGGCGACGAUCCGUAGCUGGUCUGAGAGGAUGAUCAGCCACACUGGAACUGAGACACGGUCCAGACUCCUACGGGAGGCAGCAGUGGGGAAUAUUGGACAGUGGGCGCAAGCCUGAUCCAGCCAUACCGCGUGGGUGAAGAAGGCCUUCGGGUUGUAAAGCCCUUUUGUUGGGAAAGAAAAGCAGCAGGUUAAUACCCCGCUGUUCUGACGGUACCCAAAGAAUAAGCACCGGCUAACUUCGU